ensembl:lncRNA
AGGCUUUAUGCAAUCCCGUAUUUCCGUGGCCUGGGGACAGUGUAGAAUUGGGGCACUCAGUGAAUAAGGAGGAUGGAAGACGAAGAGAGCAUGAUGUGUAUCAAGUAUAUGAAAUAUUUGCUUAGCCAUAGCAGAGACAAUCAGUUAGCACAGGUUUUGGGUAGAAUUACGAUUGCCAAUGUCACACCGAAAUUCAAAUAAAAGUUUAAAAAUGUUUUCAUUGUGGAAUUUCUCAAACGUCCACCCAUGAAAGUAGAGAGAAUUAGUAUAGUGAACUCCAAUAUACCUACCACUCAGUUUCAAUAAUUGCCAGCAAUUUGCCAAUUCUAUUUUUUCUCUUUUCUGAGGCCUUUUCUUACUUUCCUUCUCCAGGACUCCAGCAACUGACAGCAAAUACCAUACUUUAUAUUAUUUCUUCUAUGAAAAAAUCUGUUAAAUGCACCUUGGUGUCAGCGAACAAAAUCUUUUUUUUACUUUAGAGUUGCGUGGAUCAGGAGCUGGAUUUUUUCACAUUUACUUCAUUUACAUAUGCAGUUCUUAACUGUAUGCCUCCCGCUCAGGCUGAAUAGAAACAUAUCUCAUGGCAGCUAUGUCCUGAGCUCUUCACACCUACAAGAAAUGUACAAGAGGAAGCCAAAACAUGGGUUUGGAGAAGAAAUGUACCUACCACACCCAGCAACACCUACAAGUCUGGAUGCCCAGCAACCACAAGAAACAUCCUGUACCACAACAGACCUUUCCCUUCCCAAGUUUCAACCUCCCCCCCUCCAGUCAAAACUUUCCACCCUCCCCCGAUGACCUACCUUCCCCUGAUGACCUCUCUUCCCCUACCCAAACCACCCUAUAAAAGUCUCUUCUUGCCCUGCCAUUGCUGUCACCUGUCUUUUCACUCUUGGC